AUCUUCGGGGCAGAGUGAAAUUCUCGACUGGCGGUAAACUCCGCGAACUCAUAUGAGCCGAACUGGUGAAAUUCCAGUAGCAACAGUAAAGUCUGGAUGAAAGAAGAG
rnacentral:ncRNA from 1 species